GUGCUCACUUCGACAGCACAUAUACUAAAAUUGGAACAAUACAGAGAAGCAGAGCAUGGCCCCUGCACAAGGAUGACAUGCACAUUUGUGAAGUGUUCCAUAUUUUU
ensembl:snRNA U6 U6 spliceosomal RNA